rnacentral:lncRNA from 1 species
GGGCCGGCGCGGACGGGACCGGAGUCGCCGCAGCCGCUGGCCUGGCCUCAGCCGCGCAGACACCGCCCGCGACGCAGCCGUCCGCCGCUCCUCCGCCGCCUGGCUCCGCGCCUCGGUCCGGCUCUGCCGCAGCAGCCGCGAGGAGGGGCCACCGGAGCGCAACUCAGGAGCCGCGAGUCAUCGCCCGGCCGCCGGAUCCGCCGCCAGGCCUCCUCCGGGGGCGCCCACGCUCUCGCCGCCGGGACCCUCCGCCAAGCCAGCAGCCACCUGCUCCGGGCCUGAGGCCAGGACACGAUGCGCUCCGUGCUGGUGCUCUCGGGGUUGCUCCUGCUGCUGUCGCCGUCGUUCUUCCUGGAUGCCGCCAACACCACAGCCAACACCAUAGCCAGCACCACAGUCUCAGCCGUGUCGACACCUUUCAACAGCAAGCAUUCAGACGAUGUCUCUCAACUCAACCUCAAUCACAACUAGCAGAUCUUCACUUCAGAGUUCAACAGAGCCCAAGGGCAGCAUGCCCACAUCAUUUAGCGCCUCAGGGGUGACGUCAGCCCAGCAAAACACAAGUCCAGCAGCCAGUACCAAAACUGAAAAACCAACCUCAGGCAGCUCUCCUACAGUUGGCUCAGAGGAUUUGAAAUCCACAGCACUCACCGUCUCGACAAAGCCUGAAAUCACAAGCGGUCAGAGUGAAAUUACUAAAGUUACAGCCAGCGUGGUCUCUACGGAAGGACAUCAGACAACCACUUCACCUAUAAAUCUGAAUAAUACCUCAAAGACCAGUCCUGCUUCUACUCCUGUUCCCGCCCUAGCAAGCAUUUCCCAGCCUGGCACGGUCCCUGGGACUCCUCCUGUUCCUGUGACUUUGGUCCCCAUGACUCCAGAGCCCCCAGGGAGCUCCUCCCAGGGAUCAAACAGAAAUAUUGCAACCACAAGUGUCAGCACACCAGCCACCUUCACAACUCAGGAGAUGCUGAUUACAAUAACGCCACCGGUUACCUCAGGAGGAACCCAGCGUAUCCCCAGCGAGCCGCCGGUGCUCCCUGACACCCUACGGCUCCUCAGCCCACAGGCUCUGCCUCAGGACCCAGGACCGCACCUCCCGCCCGGGGCCCCACGCGUUCCAGCCCUCGGCUGGUGUCGGCAGCCUCUCCCACCGCCAGCCUCCCUCCUCCCGCCUCAGCAAGCGGGGUAGAGAUACAGUGCGGUGCUCCUGAAAGGCUGAGUGAGGAGACGUUCGUCCUGAACUUCUCCAAAGCCGACCUCUGUAAGUCAAGCCCCGUGGGAGCGAAGCUGUAUACGCUUCUGUGCCAGGCGGCAAAAGCCACCUUCAACCCAUCUCAAGAUCAGUGCAAUAUUCAGCUGGCACCUGUUCCGGAAAUCCAGUCAGUGGCCGUCAAAUCCAUCACCAUCCACACAAAGCUCUGUCCCAAGGACACGUUCGAGUUGCUGAAGAACAAGUGGGCUGACCUAAAAGAGGUGGGAGUCACAAACAUGCAGUUGGGGACCAAGGGCCACCAGAGGAGACGGAGGACCGGUUCAGCAUGCCCCUCAUCAUCACCAUUGUCUGCAUGGCAUCCUUCUUGCUCCUGGUCGCGGCCCUCUACGGCUGCUGCCACCAGCGCCUCUCCCAGAGGAAGGACCAGCAACGGCUAACAGAAGAGCUACAGACAGUGGAGAACGGUUACCAUGACAACCCAACACUGGAAGUGAUGGAGACCUCAUCAGAGAUGCAGGAGAAGAAGGUGGCCAACCUCAAUGGGGAGCUGGGGGACAGCUGGAUCGUCCCUCUGGACAACCUGACCAAGGAUGACCUGGAGGAGGAGGAAGACACACACCUCUAAUCAGGUCUGCCGGCGGCCUCCGACAGCGCACAGGGCUCCAGCUGAACCACCUCAAGUGCCGUUUGGACAAGGGAGGAAAAUCCUUCCCCUUGGAGGGAAAGACUGGGGAGGGAGGGCGGGCGGACUCGCAGGCCUCCCCAUCCCCAUAGGCCUUAAUUUUUCCCUUUUCAAGCUGAACAAUUCACCUUCUGUGUAGAACCUUCUUGUAAAAUAACCCACUAGUGCCUGAGUUCAGUGCCGCUGGGAGGUCAGGCAAGAGCCGUAUGAGGGACUUUGGAGACCCCCUGGUAGAAUUCCUUCAUUUCACAGACAGGCGACCGAGGCCCAAAGAGGGUAAAGUCGAGGUCACCCAGCCCCUGGGUGACAGCGUCAGGAUGAGAACAGAGCUUCCUCCCUUCAGCCCGGUGCCCGUUCCCAGCACACUGCGCUGCUGUGGCGACCCAACGCCCACCCUCCAGAGCUGAUGGGCUGGAGGGGAGAGCAGGGCAGGCUCGUCUCGGUGGCGUCUGAUUACUUCAAAGCCUAGGCCCCGUCGUCUGUCUCCUGUCCGCACCCGCCAGUGUGUCCCGUCGUCUGUCUCCUGUCACCCCCCGCCAGUAUGCUGUCCUCUUUGUUGUCCCCGCUCCCUUGACUCAGUUUUAAUUCCCACGCCGUCCCAGGGCCCCUGGCACUAACACAGGUCACUCGUGACCUUGCUGUCCUUGCUCUGGAGUCUCAUUUCCUGGCAUUUCUUCAGAGAUUGGGACCAAAUGCACACAGGACUCAGUGUGGACAAGUGUGCCCAGGCACCCACCUACAGGGGGACUCCUUCCUCCCAGGAUGGGUCCCCUGGCCACCCCCCGAGGCGCUCCUUGAGGCCUCCUCUUCCCACCGGGCACCAAAAGCAGCAGCAGCUACCGAAGGCAAGGUGUUCCUAUUUCGUUGUCACUGCUUGGCCCCUGCGAUGGGGUGGGGGCUCCAGCUCGCAGCCUCUGAGAUCCAGCAGCUUAAGGACAGAGCUUCGUGGGGCCCCGGCAGCUGAGAUGUGUCUGAAAUAGACAAUCGAUUGAAACAGCAGGAAGGACAGGCUUUACUUACUCUGUUUCUUUGGAAACUUAGGGGCUUGGCAAGCUGCUGAGAGUUUUGUUUUCUUUUUUCGUUGAUCUUUGAAUCUGGCUCUCCACCUCCCAAGGCCAAAGCUCAAAUCACUGGGACCUUUCAGUUAGAUUCCAGGCUUCUGUGCACAGGCAAGAAAGGCCUAGAACGCCAGGUGCCCUUCAAAGUGCACGAGGGGCAGCCCCAGCCCGGCUUUCUGUUCCCAGCCACCUCUCUCUGUCCGGGUGCAGAGCUGGGCCUGGCUGGGUCCCUUCUCUGUGUUCCUAGCAAGGCUGGCUGCCAGUGCUUCCGCAGGUUCUGGGGGCAUCUCAGGGAAACGUAAUGCCGACUGCUGCCCAGGGGAGGGGCUUGAGGAAGCGCAGUGGGCUGAGGACUGGGCAGAGGGAGGCUUCCUUGGGUUUUUUUGAGAAGAGGGUCCUGCAUAGAAUUCUGUUUUGCCCAUGCUCUCUAUUGUCCCUGGGGAUAAAGUCCCUGCAGCCAACCAGGAAGAUAGGCACAACUGCUUAGGAGAAUGAAAGUGGUCCCUUCAGGGCAAAGAAGCUGGACCCCCUGUACGUAGAGGCAGGGCCAGGCUGCAGCAGUUCGAUAAAAUAGGCUAUCUGCUUUAAGAUAGGUUCUUUUUUUCUUUUUUUUUGGCCACACCCUUGGCAUGUGGAAGUUCCUGGGUCAGGGAUCGAACCGUGCCACAGCAGUGACAACACCAGAUCCUUAACCCACUGAGCCACCUGGAAACUCCAGGUUAUUUUUCUUAAAGGGGAGGAUGUGAGCCUGCCUUGGCUGCUUGAUCCCCUCUUCAUAGCCUUUAGCCACUGGAUACCCAGGGGAAGAGGAAGGCCAGAGGUUCAAGCAGGUCCCCCAGUGAGCUUCCCAAGAGCUAGAAAGAUACUAAGCUAUCCAGGAUCCUCAGUGUGUGUCCUGAUUCUCUAGUAUUUGGAGGUGGCAGGCUGGAGAUGAAUACCAGUUUGGGGUAAAAGAGGAAAUAUUGUUUCAAUGGGAAAAGAUCUAUUUGGUUCUUUCUACCGGGGGGGGGGUGGGGGGUGUUUCUAUCAUGGCCACUGGGAGAGGCCAGACCGGAUUAGUACAGCAAGUAUGUCUCCGCAAAUCAAGCAAAGGCUGCAAGCGCCAGGUCUACGGAGACAGAGACGAUGACUGCAAAGACUAGAGUAAAAAUGAUGCUUGGUCAGGAGGAAUGACCGUGGCUCUGUCCAGCGAGAACCCCGAAGAGCUUUGGGUGGUUCGAAGUCUCUUCCUUUGGUGCAUCUGGAUUGUACUGCUCUAGCGUUUUGGGGCAACUUGCCUUGGCUCGCUCUUGCUGCUAGACACCCGGUGUCAAAGGCCAUACCGCCGUGUAACUGUAAAGGGCAUCUACUCCCCCCGCCAUUGCUGGCUUCUAAUGCUAUCUGGUAAUUCAGAUUCUGGGGCGGAGAGGAGAGAAGAGGAAUGCCACCGGGAACUCAGCAUGACUUGCAAACAAAGUUGUGCCAGAGAGAGAUUAUAAGCUUGAUUUCAGUGGCAGACUUGUUUCCCUAAACUGCAUAAAAGGCCAGAGACCAGACAAAAUCUAGUGCAGCACGCUGUCGCGUGGGAGGGGAGAGAGGCAGCAAUGCUUAUGAAGGGGGUAGAGAAAAUUCUUUGCAUCAUAAGACAGAAUACGGGUUUAAUCUAGUCUAGACGCAAGAUGAUUCUUCCUCCUCUUGAUAAGGAAAGUGAGCAGAAAGUAUAUUUAAACCACUUCUUGAGCUUUAUCUUUUUGACCAUAUAGUAGAGAAACUUGGAAAAACAGGUUCAAGCUGAUACAUAUAUACUUAUUUUUUGAUAAUGUAAAUACAACAGCCACAUGUUAAUCCACCCUGCACUGCUUUGAGUGAAUAUACUUUGUAAAAACCUUUGUUAGCUAAGCGAGAUGGCUUUUUUUUCCCCCUAAACAGGAAUGUUAAUGUCUAUUUUACUAGAAAUAACAAGUCUGUUUUUCUUUAAGUGAAAAAUGAAAUAUAAGACAGGCUGAUGACAAAGUCUUUGUCUUGUAGGUUGGGCAUUUUUAUUUUUAAAUACGAUCCUCACCCCCUCCCCAGUGAAGUCCCAGCAUAGUACGGGAAGGUUGGCGUCAAAAUGCUCUGCUUGGAACCCCAGGCCCGUCUUUUUUUUUUUUUUUUUUUUUUUUUUUAAACAAAACAGAUAAAGAGCCUGAUGCCCAGAAAGAUAAAGUGACUUGGCCAAAAUCACAUGUUUAGUGACAGAAACAGGAUUAAAACCUGGGUUGGAAGACUGUCCAGUGCUGUGUGCCUCAGAAUCAACAAAUUAAGGACUGCUAAUGAAGGGCAGGCACCAGAAUGACACAAAGGACAGAAUUCCCUUCCCAAAUGUCCUGUAGCAAAGCCCGGGAGAGCAUGAAGACAAAGUAGGAAGCUUAGUGAUCUGCUGUACAUCUUCUGAGCUGUGUAGGUCUAAGAACAAUUCUUUUCUGCCAAGAAAUAGUUUUGAAUGAGCUUUCACAUAAAGAGCUUCUACCAGUAGGACUAAGGAUCAAAGGGAACCAGACCAGGGGGAGGCGGGGGGAGAGUAAAGGCGUGGUGUGUUUCAACCUUGUUAUUAGCUGAUUCACUCGGGUUUAGUGAAAACCCAACACUGAGUGAAAGGAGGGGAUUACAGUUUGCUGUGGGUCUUUUUUUAACUUGGUGAAUGUUAAACAGUUUGCCCGGCAGACAGGGGGAGCAUGUGUCUUAGUGGACAGGGGUCUAAAGUACACUGGAAUUUACUGAGAAACUUGUUUGUAAAAACUCUUAAUUAUUGCCAUUUUCUUAUGAAAGUAUAUUUUGGGAAAUUGUAUACUGUCAAUUAAAGUGCUUUCGUGUAAGCGGGUUCAAGCCCUAGUAGUUUGCUUGCUUGGCUUCCAUUCUUCACUUGUGCAUGAGUCUUAUCACUGAAGCCCCUGAGGACAUGGGACACCCAAGCAGCCACCUCUGCUCGUAGUCACGCCCACUUAACUACAUGCAGAGAGAGAGAGAGAAAAGGACCGAAGCUCAAAGGAAAGGGGGCCACCCUGAAGGGGAUGGCAGGUCUCCCUGGCGAUCCCAGCCGAAAGGGCCUCGAGUUCCCUCAUAGCACUGUUGUACCCCCUUCCUCCCCCUCUACUUCUGCCGCAGAUAAGAGAGCGACAUGCCUGCCACCAGAGAUGCCAGGGGGGCUGUGGAACCCUGACCAGGUCUGAAACCACUGGCAGAAGCAAGGCAAAUAAAACUAC